AUUACUCUUUUAUGUUACCGCCGUGGGGUCCGAACACAGCGCCGCCUAGCGACUCCGAAGCAGUUGCCGUGUCCCGACGAUCCAGAAGCCGUAGCUGUCGCAUCGCCCGCACGCAACAUCCGCGUCCCCCGCUGCCUUUGCUGCAUCAUCGGAAGCAGUAACGAGGUUUUGUUCCCCUUCCCACAAAUCACACCAUGUUAUUGGUAGGUUCCUCUUCUCUGUUCCUUGAAUCGAGUGCGGAAAGGAAUUCUCUUCGGCCUCCUUUGUUCAAGUGAUUGGAACUCGGAGACGCCCGUGGCCAAGAUGCGAAAUCCCCUUAGGUCUGCCAAGAAAUCCAAAGGAGCUCCACAGCCAGAAGUGAGCUCAAAUUGCUACGAAGCAGAGCGCCUCAACCAUCUUCUCCUUCAACUCACCAGCUAACUUCCUAAAGGAGAACUACCUGAGAAGAUACGGAUCAAGCAACAAUUUGCUAUUGGGGUUAAUGAUGUCACGCGUGUUCUUGAGAGAAUGAUACAAGCAGACGCCGAUUGCUAAUCAAACGCAAGAUUAGAUUUUUGUAAGUUCUAUUUCUCUAAAGAAAAUUAUCAUAAAUUCUUAAAAGUCAAUAGUACUCGAUCUGAAUUAUUCAUGCUUUGAGCCUUUGCUGCUUGGAAUUUAAAUGUUUAUAACAUUAAUGGCGGAGG